rnacentral:snRNA from 1 species
ACCACCGAGCGGCGGGUAG